rnacentral:ncRNA from 2 species
UACAGAGUAGGGCUUUGUGCGUUAAGUGUCUUGUGGACGGGGAGUUGCCACAGGAACGAAAAGGAUUUUCCUUGCGGUACAAACCCCGCAUCCCGCUGUC